AACUUCCAUCAUAUCGUCUCCCCUCAAUUCAUAUGACGGAGUAACUCAAAGCGAUCAUGGUGGAUAAUUAAUUCAUCCCACUAUCUCCCCUGCCAUUAAGUUUUCUCACUUCUCCUUUAAACCGAAACAACUAUUUAUAUAUGUCGAGAAGGUGCUCUAGAUGAAUCACAAAGCUUCUUCAAAUCAUAAUCUAUUAUAAACCCUAGAAACAGAGCUUGCACCUAUGGCGAUUUACCAGUUCCAUUUUCCUAUUUGAAUACAUAACAUCGUAAGGAGACGUAACAUUGUAAGGAUACGAUUGUCAAACGCCUUCUUCGUUUUUGGGAGGCAAGGACAUGAAGAAAGCUGGUGAGCUUCUGGGCGUGAACCUGGUUUCUCUCGAUGCGAAGACAACGUUGAUCCAAGGGUCUAUAGGAGUUCAGAGACUCAACACUUUCAAACAUCUGCUGAAGGAAGGGUGAAUCUAUGAGCUAAGCUUAUUUGAUGCUACCAAAAGCAACAGACCCGACCAAGAUUGUGGUGCUGAUGGAGCCAAUCCCAACAGAAAAUUUCAGACGUUUUUGGUGAUGUUUGUGACAUCAAGACCACCUACAACGAUGAGACUCAUGCUAUUCAACGUGUUGUGGUUACAGUCCUGAUUGACAGAAGUAUGACCGUGUAUGUUAGUGUGUUUGAUUUGGUUACAAAUUAGCUUCAUCAGAAAUUAGAGGUGGCAAGUUUGGAUCCAAAAGUCAUUGUUGCCACAAACAUAAAUCCAAAAUUAGUUGGAGGUAGGCUUUUCUUGAAUGCUACCUUGGAAUGCACUUCUAUUUUGACAACGAAUGCAUCGCUGGAAAGAGUCUUCUAGGAGCGUAUCGUGUGCAGAUUGUGGUCACAGAUCCAGCAGGCUCUGCCGUUUUCGUUGCUUGCUUUUGAAAGGGAAAAAACGAAGCUGACGAAUGUUCCUGCCACAGAGGUUGCACAGCUCAUGGCCUCAUGGUAUUGUUUCUAAGCUUCAAAUAUCCAUCUCUGUUUACGGUAUCUACAUAUUUUUUAUGUUAUCUGGUUAUUGUCCUGU